UACAGGGGGUGCAAACGUUGCUCGGAAUUAUUGGGCGUAAAGCGCGCGUAGGCGGCUACCUAAGUCGGAUGUGAAAGCCCCUGGCUCAACUGGGGAAGUGCACCCGAAACUGAGUAGCUAGAGUGCAAAAGAGGGUCGCGGAAUUCCCGGUGUAGAGGUGAAAUUCGUAGAUAUCAGGAGGAACACCGGUGGCGAAGGCGGGUCUCUGGGCCGAUACUGACGCUGAGGAGCGAAAGCGUGGGGAGCGAACAGG
rnacentral:rRNA from 1 species